rnacentral:rRNA from 1 species
AUGAACGCUGGCGGCGUGCCUAAUACCUGCAAGUCGAGCGGACGGACGAGAAGCUUGCUUCUCUGAUGUUAGCGGCGGACGGGUGAGUAACACGUGGAUAACCUACCUAUAAGACUGGGAUAACUUCGGGAAACCGGAGCUAAUACCGGAUGAUAUUUUGAACCGCAUGGUUCAAAAGUGAAAGACGGUCUUGCUGUCACUUAUAGAUGGAUCCGCGCUGCAUUAGCUAGUUGGUAAGGUAACGGCUUACCAAGGCAACGAUGCAUAGCCGACCUGAGAGGGUGAUCGGCCACACUGGAACUGAGACACGGUCCAGACUCCUACGGGAGGCAGCAGCAGGGAAUCUUCCGCAAUGGGCGAAAGCCUGACGGAGCAACGCCGCGUGAGUGAUGAAGGUCUUCGGAUCGUAAAACUCUGUUAUUAGGGAAGAACAUAUGUGUAAGUAACUGUGCACAUCUUGACGGUACCUAAUCAGAAAGCCACGGCUAACUACGUG